rnacentral:rRNA from 1 species
GUCCACGCCGUAAACGAUGAACACUAGGUUUUGACCCCGUCAACGGGUCAGAGCCGCAGCUAACGCGUUAAGUGUUCCGCCUGGGGAGUACGGUCGCAAGACUGAAACUCAAAGGAAUUGACGGGGCCCGCACAAGCGGUGGAGCAUGUGGUUUAAUUCGACGCAACGCGCAGAACCUUACCAGGGCUUGACAUGGAAAGGACAGAACGAGAGAUCGUUCCUUCUCCGCAAGGGGACCUUUCACACAGGUGCUGCAUGGCUGUCGU